UUUGGCAUGUGAUUUGUUUUAUUUCCACCUCUGCAACAACAUUUUUAUUAUGACCGCACAAGCUGCAAAGCUUUUUAGCAAUAAAAAACCUUCAAUUCUUGUGCGGGAAGCCGUACAAGUGAUUUGGGGGAUUGAAACCCUAGCACAGCGCUCAAUAAGUGGUAGACUGGGACCAACAAGACACGGUGAAAGGGAGCCAUGCAAACAGCUAACACUUGAAAAGUUGGAUGCGGUGUUUGCAUUCCUGUCCCACUGGGGAAAGAAAAAGAAUGUCGACACCUCGGUGGCAUCAUUCAGGACGUUAAAAAAAAGCUGCGCAUUUGAAGUUUGUAUGUGCUAGCACAAGGCUGCAUGACAGUUGAAAUAAAGUAUUUUCAGUUUUACAA
rnacentral:lncRNA from 1 species